GGAGAUGUGGGUGAGUUAAUUAUCCUCCUAGUUCCUUUGUUCUUUACAGAGACAAGGUGAUAGGUGGACAGUGAACUUUAGAGAUGCAAGCCAUUGAAUCCCUCAAGAGAAGGGAGCCAAGAAAUGUUCUCUCAAAACAACCUUUUAUAUCAGAAAUAUCUCUAAAGCAAUAAACUCUAACUUGAGGGAUAAUUACAAGGAGGACACACAAGCUCAGUGAGGAGAUAGAUGCUUCAUCACCGCAUCCCCAAAUCCCC
rnacentral:lncRNA from 1 species